rnacentral:rRNA from 1 species
UACACGCUGUGACUAGCAUAUCAAUAAGCGGAGGAAAAGAAACUAACAAGGAUUCCCCUAGUAACGGCGAGUGAAGCGGGAAGAGCUCAAAUUUGAAAUCUUAAAGGGUUUCCCUUUACGAAUUGUAGUUUAAAGAAGUGUUUUCUGUUGAGGUUUUGGUAAAAGUUCUUUGGAAUAGGACAUCAUAGAGGGUGAGAAUCCCGUAUUUGACCUUUACUUUCAACUUUGUGAUACACUUUCAAAGAGUCGGAUUGUUUGGGAAUGCAGUCCAAAAUGGGUGGUAAAUUUCAUCUAAAGCUAAAUAUUGGCGAGAGACCGAUAGCGAACAAGUACCGUGAGGGAAAGAUGAAAAGAACUUUGAAAAGAGAGUUAAACAGUACGUGAAGUUGUCAAAAGGGAAGCGUUUGACACCAGUGUUGUUUUUCUGAAAAUCAAUUAAAGAACUGUUUAUGCUAAGCUGUUUAGACUUUAUCAGCUAUCUGUUUAGUUUUGAGCUUUUCUUUAAUGCACUUUUCAGUUAACAAGUCAACAUCAAUUUCUUUUGCUGUAAAAAAGCUUGAGGAAGGUGGCUUGAGAUUCGUCUUAAGUGUUUAUAGCCUCUUGCCUAUGCAGUCGGAGAGAUUGAGGUCUGCAGCGUAGAUCCUUCGGGGCUAAAUGCAUUUGUGCUAAGUUAUAGCAUUUUAUAGACAACUUGUUGACUAUGAUUUGUCUUGUAGCUUACUCGCUUAUGUUAUUUUACCUACGCUUAGGAUGUUGAAGAUGUAGCACAUCAU